UACGGGGGGUGCGAGCGUUGUCCGGAAUCACUGGGCGUAAAGGCGCGUAGGUGGCCCUGAUAAGGGUGUGGUGAAAGUCCGGGGCUUAACCCCGGAUCUGCCGUGCCGACUGUUAGGCUAGAGUGUUGUAGGGGCAGGCGGAAUUCCGGGUGUAGCGGUGGAAUGCGUAGAGAUCCGGAGGAAGACCGGUGGCGAAGGCGGCCUGCUGGGCAGAUACUGACACUGAGGCGCGACAGCGUGGGGAGCAAACAGG
rnacentral:rRNA from 1 species